rnacentral:rRNA from 1 species
GAUGAACGCUGGCGGCGUGCCUAAUACAUGCAAGUCGAGCGAACAGACGAGGAGCUUGCUCCUCUGACGUUAGCGGCGGACGGGUGAGUAACACGUGGAUAACCUACCUAUAAGACUGGGAUAACUUCGGGAAACCGGAGCUAAUACCGGAUAAUAUAUUGAACCGCAUGGUUCAAUAGUGAAAGACGGUUUUGCUGUCACUUAUAGAUGGAUCCGCGCCGCAUUAGCUAGUUGGUAAGGUAACGGCUUACCAAGGCAACGAUGCGUAGCCGACCUGAGAGGGUGAUCGGCCACACUGGAACUGAGACACGGUCCAGACUCCUACGGGAGGGAGCAGUAGGGAAUCGUCCGCAAUGGGCGAAAGCCUGACGGAGCAACGCCGCGUGAGUGAUGAAGGUCUUCGGAUCGUAAAACUCUGUUAUUAGGGAAGAACAAAUGUGUAAGUAACUAUGCACGUCUUGACGGUACCUAAUCAGAAAGCCACGGCUAACUACGUG